UACGAAGGGGGCUAGCGUUGCUCGGAAUUACUGGGCGUAAAGCGCACGUAGGCGGAUUGUUAAGUUGGGGGUGAAAUCCUGGAGCUCAACUCCAGAACUGCCUUCGAAACUGGCGAUCUUGAGUCCGGGAGAGGUGAGUGGAACUGCGAGUGUAGAGGUGAAAUUCGUAGAUAUUCGCAAGAACACCAGUGGCGAAGGCGGCUCACUGGCCCGGUACUGACGCUGAGGUGCGAAAGCGUGGGGAGCAAACAGG
rnacentral:rRNA from 1 species